GACAUCAGUAGCCGCGGUAAUACGAAGGGGGCUAGCGUUGCUCGGAAUCACUGGGCGUAAAGCGCACGUAGGCGGAUAUUUAAGUCAGGGGUGAAAUCCCAGAGCUCAACUCUGGAACUGCCUUUGAUACUGGGUAUCUUGAGUAUGGAAGAGGUGAGUGGAAUUCCGAGUGUAGAGGUGAAAUUCGUAGAUAUUCGGAGGAACACCAGUGGCGAAGGCGGCUCACUGGUCCAUUACUGACGCUGAGGUGCGAAAGCGUGGGGAGCAAACAGGAUUAGAUACCCCAGUAGUCCCUGUCUCUUAUAC
rnacentral:rRNA from 1 species